rnacentral:lncRNA from 1 species
AUUAAAAUUACCUUGCAUAGGAUGUAAAAUGGUGAUCCUGGGCUGUAUUCAAAUCCAAAUGUUUCGAAUCCGAGUGAAAUUUGUGGAUGGAUCGAGUCUUAGUCCACGGAUCUGAGAGUCAAGUCCGCGGCCGUUAAAAAAUGACACGAUUACUGGAAAUGAUUCGAUUUCCACGUUCUUACUUUUAUGGAAUCUCGCAACCUCCGUUCCAAUAAGAAUCAGAAAACAGUUGGUUAAUAGUCCAUUCUUCCAAACUGGUCAACCAUUAUUCAAUCAUUGUUAGGAAUAGUUCACAACCCAACAAAAUAUCAUUAUAAUUCAACCUUUUAACGUUCGGAACAUUGAUUAUAAGAAAUGAAUCAGAAACAUCAUCAGUUGAUAACAAAAUACACUGUAAAAUGUUGUAUUAGACAGCAUCCAUACUUAUUCAAUUUGGAAAAAUUUGAGCAAGACUUUUUAAAUAUAUUGAGCAACUGUAUUCUCAUUUCUCGGGAAAUUGUCCUUCAGUGAGUUGCCGGGAAACCAGGAUUUUUUUUCUCUCUUCAAUUGGUGACUCUUCCUGAUAUAUGUAGAUCAUCUGUCUGGACGUAUUUAUGGGCAAAAUAAGGUGUUUAAUGGUCCUUAAAAUUGGCAAGGAAAAAUAUAUUCUUUUUUGUGUGUGGCUAUGGUUAGUUACCUUAGACCCGGAUAAAUCAAGAAAAAAAUAUCUAAUUAAUAAUUUCAAUGAGCUGUUUUGUGACAGUUCUUUGUGAGCGUCAAUUUAAAAAAAAAGUGUAUUUCGAUUACCUGCAAUAUAUUUGUGCCCCUAUAAAUCUUUCUUGCUAGUUACAAAAUUCAAACAUAUUUGUAAGAAAAAAACUAUAAGUUAUAUAUAUCUCUCUGUCAGCAGAUAUAUCGUCUCCCAAAGUGAUCAACAUAUGUAAUGGGGACCCAAAACUUGCAUGCCCUGCUUCCAUGUUGCCUUUUUCCUGGAUUUUGCAAUUUGCAUUGUCUUGGAGAAGAAUGUCUACCGUACCUCUCAUCCAGAUUUAUAGUCGCUCUGAGCUGCCAUCAUGAUGGUGUGUUCCUCCAUGGAUACCACCUGUAUUGUUAUGCAAUACCAAUCUGUUCACCGUCGUGUCGAGGCUGUUAUUGUAUUUGAAGGA